UAUCCCCCAAACUAAGGGGGGAUGAGAACCACCGACCGGGGUUCGACAACUGGCGCAGCCAGUUGGACAGACGACGAGCUUGCGAGGAGACUGCCCGAAGGGCGAGCGCAGCGAGUCAAUCCCCCUCUCACCGCCA
rnacentral:sRNA from 1 species